UAUUUUAACUAUACAAAGGUAUUGUAAUAAGGUUUUAAUUGGAUGCUAAAAGAAUGGAAUUUUAAAAAAAAUCUUUUUUAAAAAUAAAAAUUGAAUUUUUUUUAAUUUGUGCAGAAACAAUUAUUUAUAUUAAGGACAAGAAGACCCUAAGAAUUUAUAAUUAAAUAAAUUAAAAUUUUAAUUUAUUUAAUUUUGAUUGGGGUGAUCGAAAAAUAUUAAUAACUUUUUUGAAUUUAAAUGAUCUAUUAUUAAUAAAUGAAUGAAAUAAAUA
rnacentral:rRNA from 1 species